rnacentral:pre_miRNA from 1 species
AAUAGAUGACGUGUUAGACUUUUUCUAAUAUGUUUGACCAUUCGUCUUAUUCAAAAAAUUUACGUAAUUAUAAUUUAUUUUUGCUAUGAGUUGUUUUAUCACUCAUAGUACUUUAAGUAUGAUUUAUAUCUUAUACAUUUGCAUAAAAAUUUUUGAAUAAGACGAAUGGUCAAACAUGUGAGAAAAAAUCAACGGCGUCAUCUAUU